AUGGGCCCUCGAGGGAGUCCUCAAAGUGUGCGUGCCGGUUUGUUCUCUGGUUCAUCGCCACGCUCAGUCCGCUCAGCCGGUCCACACAGACGCCAUCAUCACCGCCGCUCAUCUAGUGUAGAAAGCCAUAGUUCAAAUGAUUCUCAUUCUUGUCGAAGGCGCAGGCAUAGGAGUAGGAGAGGCUCUGACUGUGAAAGCGAAUUGUCAAGGUGCUCAGGUAAAUCUCAUCAUAGUCAUCGUAGACCAAGACAUCGUAGUAGAAAAACAUCGCACAGUGAUAGAGAAUCCUCAAAACACAGUAAUUACCAGUUGGUUGAGUCCGAAAGUCAGUGGAAGGAGGUCCAAAGGAGACGCGGUGAGGGUUCUGAGAGCCUAGCAACAGCAAGUGUCAGUCGGCCACGUUCUUCAGGACAUCACAAUAGCGGCAUGGAAACGGAGAGUGAGAGGUCGUACCAUCAUCAUCAUAGGAGAAAACAUCGCAAGCAUCGAUCCCGCUCACCAUCAUCAGAUAAAUCUUCUCGAUUGCCGGACGAACUGAAGCAGCAUCUGGAGUUCUCAUUAGUUGAGACUGAAGGAAUGAGUGAGUCGCAGCUUAAGGAAAUUCCAUACAAAGUGGUCGAGACGAAUACUGCCAAAUCCGCACUGCGAGUGCGUUUGUCACCCUCAAAUAAACGGAAGUUAGCUCCACGGAGGACAAAAAGCAACAAUUCGCUUAAAGACGGGCCUCCGAGUAAUGGUGACAGUCCACCACCCCCGUACAGUGAAAGUCCCGUCCUGUCUGAUCUCAACAAAAACAACAGCAAGUCCAACUCCCAGCUGCCCAGGAUACCAGCAAGGAGCCAGCCAUCGCGGCCACCAUGCUCAGCAUUGUAUGGAAACCCAGGGACUCUCUUGGGCCGUACCCCAUUUUUGCAUGGCAGUCAAAAUAGUGUUGAUCUCCUUGACCAUUCAGCGUGGAACUCGACCCCAAAACGAUCGGACCAUUCACCUCAAAGCUCUCCUUACAAUUCAAUAGGCCUGCCUCUGCCUAACCAACAGAAGAUUUGGUCAAGUCCUGAAGUACGAGGCACCGUUGGACUUCCCUGGCCAUCCAUCAUGGAAGGCUUUUACCAACCUGGUGCCAAGUCUAUGUCUAACGGCUAUUACCCAAGCAACUUGUACAAUAACCAACAGCUCGGUGAACCUAUGAGCGCAAAUCAAAACAUUCUGGAACAUGGUCUUCGCAAUGUCCAACGACCCAGCGAUACCUCCAUGCAGCGGUCCUCCUCCAUAAACUCAGGCCUCAACAAACAAAAAGAAGGCCUACCCAGUUCGCUUUCGAACCAUUCGGGCCGAUUUACACGAGGCUGUGCUGUGGAAACGGGUGUGUUGGGCAGUCAUACAAUCACACCCAAUGGCAGUAUUGCGUGGCCCAACUCUAACAACAGCAUGCGGGGCAAGCUUCGAGAAAAGCCAGAACUGCGCGAAAGGCAGGAGCCGAGAAAUGUUAAUCGUAGUCCUGCGUUAGCUCAGAGACUCAACAGCUCAGGGAACGUCAACCACCCUCCUCCUGUGCCAAGUCCUGAAAGUAAACAAUAUGUUACCAACUCUUUCUCCUCCGAUCUGCUCAAUUGGAACUAUCCAAGCCCAAACCAACCCACUGCCAAGAUGUUCGGAACGGAAAGUGAUUCGACAAAUGCUAACAGUUGGAACUAUCCAAACCUCUCAAACCACACAAACUCAGGUCCUGAAAGGAAGGAAUUUUCAAAACCAGACUUUGUGAACACCAAUGGUUGGGCACCAAAAGCGGAUGCUGUUAAUGGCUGGAGCUACGCUUUGGAUAAUCAGUGGAGCGAAGCAGAUUCAAACCUGAAUACAAAGCUCACGAAUGGAUCACUUGAAGAUCUCCUCUCUCGAUCCAGUCCGAACGGAUCAUUGAAGAGGUGGGAUCAGCGCAGUCCGGGCACGAGCAUGAAAGGCAAAAGCAUCUCGCCGAACAGCUCACUACCGAUGCAUCCUAACGGGUGGCAACGCAAUAGUAACAAGGCUGGUGAUCGUGGACCGCUGUACCUGUCAGCGCAAGCUUAUGAGCACGAGAAUGAAAAUAAUAACGAAGAAUCUUGGUGCUAACAUACGCUUAACACUCCUGUACCAAGACUGAUUGUUUUUAGCAUACGUUUAGCUAACAGAUUUAGAGGAGGUUGAGUUGUUAACCGUAACAUUUUUAAUCUGCUAUGCUUUUUAAACACACAUGUGAGUUCUCAUCUUAGUAUUUUGCCAUUACAACGUCAUCUUUCAUGCAUGGUCAAAAUUGCUGAAAAAGUCACUAUUCUAUAACACAAUUCUCUUAGGAAUUCAAAUUAACCAAUUAUAUAAUGCACCUAAUCUGAAGGGUCGGCACUAUCAGCGAAUUCAUAUAAUCUUUUCCAUAAAAAAAUUGAAAAUUCAAUUCUGAAAUUUUUUAUGAAAUUACUGUCGAAAUGACUGAGCUGAUGUUACUAAGGACCCUGCCUAAACAGCCAAGGAUUUUGGUGUCGGCUAAGUUUACAAUUUAUCAUCAACAGAGAGAGGUUUAUGGGUGAGGAUAUUCCAGUUGUCGCUCAUGACAAACAAACGCUUAAUCUAGCUUCAACUUUUUUUAUUUUUCAUCAUUACUUCCCCUUGUCUAUUUAAUUUUUAGUUCCAGUUUUUCUUUUUUUCUCUCAGUUUUUUGCCUCAUAACUUUUAUGCAAGUUGCUUUAACCCAUUUUCUCUUUUUGUUUUUCCAGGGAAAUGAAUCUAAGACGUCGUUGCAGAAUUCUGAGGUCAACAAUAAUGGCCGAAUCAUAGAUGAAAUGAGCACUGAAUUAUAAAGUGUUUCAAGGAAUACUGGAGAUCUUUUGUUUUAAUCUCCAUGAAAUGACUGCAAUUAGUCCAAAGAAUUGUAAUCAUGUACAUAGACUGUACCAAGAAAACUGAUCGUUGGCUUGGUUUAAGAAUCUAUGAUUUAUAUUUUUUUAGUUCAGAAGAUAUGAAAUGAGGAAGUUUAAUUUUUACAUGACCCUUGUUGGUUUCCGUAAAAUUGCUGCCACUCGGUAAAUUUUUGACUAAACAGACGGAAAAAGGUCUUUUUUGACAGUAAAGUUUAUGGACUACAACCCUCUUCAAACCAUAUCUCUAAAGCUAGCUUAGUUUUAUUAAAUCAAGGCAAAUGUCAGUUGUUUUGGGACAGCAUGUGUAUGAUUCCUGGACCAUUUUGUAAAUUGCAUGUGAAGGAAGGAAGUACAGUUAAUUUUUGUAAAAAAUUGGCAGCAAACUUUUCCAAUUUCUUUCAUUUCUUUAACAAGAUCUGUGUAUCUAGUCUGGUGAGAUUAUUUAUCUAUAGGAUUCCUCUUUUACCUCUAGUGGCGGACAGUAUCAGGAAAAAUGCAAAAUUAAUAGAGGAGAACCAGAUCCAUUUCCAUGGGCAAAGUGCGGAACCAUGUAUCUUCAUUGCGGUGUCUCAAAAUUUCCACUCCCACUUUUUUUCUUUUCUUUUUUGAAGAGAAAGGAGCCUAUUUUAUAGCUUAAAAUUUCUAAAGUAUAUUCUGCUAACACACAAGAAAAUUCAGGGAAGUUUUCAAGAAAUUACAUUGUCAAGUUUUCCAAAGAAAAAGAAAGUAUGAUAGGAAGUCUGCAACGUUGUAAACAGAGAUACGCUGUUUCGCACUUUUUCAUUGAUAUAGAAAAUGUCAGGAGCUUUCUCUUUAAGUCCCCUCAGUGGAAGUUUAAAUAAUUCUCUAAUGGGUCACUAAACCUUGUUUUUUUUAUUGAAUAUUCUGAAAGCACAAUGUGAGCAGAAAACGUGGUGAUUUUUCCGCAUUUUUAUGGAGCCGAAAUCGCGGAGAAACCCGCUUUUGAAAAAUCUAAAAACUGCAAGACAUUUCAAACGCACCCGAAUGGCGGGAAACUGACGGUGUUGACGCACUGCGGUAGUCAUAUCGCAAUCUUCUCUCAUUUUUCCUCUGAUGUUUGUUAAAAUAAACCUUGUUUCAAUGUGGAAUUGUUGCUCGUUUAUUAUAGCUAACAUAUGAAUGAGAUUCAAGUCUUGAAUUCAAAAGAUUUAAUUUCGACUUUAGUUUUGUUUUCAUAUACGAAGAGUAGAUAGACAUUUGACGGAAGUCGUGGACACCCGUGCCCGCUUCUGAUUGGUGCCGGAUGACAUCAUUCGGCGCGGCGCGAAAUCGGGGCGUUUUAAAUUUGCGUAUAAGUUGAGCGAGUUGAACUGCGCAUUUCUCGGUUAUUGAGUUCCUUGUUCGCGUUUUUAAUGUGCGCAUCGUUUUCUACGCGUCAUUUUCCUUCAGAAAACUAUAUUCGCAAGUCAAAAUUCGUUCAUGGUUUAGUGACCCAUUCACCAGAAAUCAGGAAAAUAUCAGGAUUUUUAAUUGCUAAAAUUCAGGGAAGUUUUAUACUUAGUGUCUUAAUAAAAAGUCGGAGCUAUCAAUUUUUUUAUUGCUGCUGUGUUUUCCUCUCUUUGUAUAUUUAUGAAGUAAUGGGAAGAAUGAGGAAAUUCUCUUGCUAUUUUCUUCUCUGAGCUUUGAUUGCACUAUUUAUAAAAUUUUCAACUCAGGACCUCAUGAAGGAUUUUUAUUUAUGAAUGGACAAGCAUUAAAUCUCAAAAAAGGGUUUCCAAGUUUUAAUACUAUGGCUUUGUCUUAGACUGAAAUUUCUGGUUGAUGUAUAAGUUCAAAAAUAUUGAUGAAUAUUCUUCUGGUUGAUACGGAAUUUCGUCAAAAAAUAUUUUCCUUCUUUUUUCCAAAUACUCGUAUCUGCAUGAAGAUCCAAAAUCAAAUCACCCUCCAAAAUCUUUCACUUGUAUUAUGGAAGUCCUUGACUAAAAGAAUAUCUAAUUUGUCAUAAUUGCGCAAAAAAUUAGCGUUUUGUCAGGUGCUCCCUCUUAAAAAGGAGUCAUCCUACGCCAACGUGUAAAACCACACAAAAAAAGGAGUAAGAGCAGCUUUAGGUGCAAAAUUUUCAGGUUUUUGUAACUUGGAUAUGUUUCUAACUUCUUAGUGAUUUUUCUUCAUCAAAUUUUUUCUGCUAUUUUUGUACGAUAUUUGUAUUCUCAUUAAAUUCCUAAUCACCUGACGUAGCAUGAGAAAAUGUUUCAUGUCCAGAUAAUCCUCGUAUUUUGUACUACUAAGUGUCUGAUCUGUGUUCCUUGUAGCCGCAUAGUGUUAGCCCCUACAUUUUUGUACUUUUGUAUGUUCCCUUGUCUAAAUUUAACCAAAAAUUGUUGAUUCCUGGGGAUGGCAAUUUCAAAUUCUUCAUCUCUAGAAGUACAACAGGACAGCAGUUUCAUCCGAUGACUUUUUGUCCCUUUUUUUUGCUUUCUUUAAAUUGCCUAUUUUUACCUGUAAUAAUUCUGUUGCAGCAGAGCAAAGCAAGGGUUCUCUCUUACAAAUGCAUGGUUUUGCUAAUGAAAACCAAAUUCUUUGUGAAAUAGUUGUCGAUUCACUUAUUAAUAAGGGUCAGAAAUUCUUCAUCAGAGUCGUAUAAAAAUUUGCUGUUAGUUGAGAAACAAGGAGAUCACUGCCAAAUGUUCCUGAUAAACGUAAUACCAUCUCGCAAAACUGUUACUUUGUACUUUUUCUCGGUGUCGGAUAUUGACAGAACCUUUGGUCCAGCAAAAUUUUCCUCCACACCUGCUCAAAAUUUUUACUGCCAAAACUUGAUUACUCACAAAAUAUGUAUUCAUUUACAGAACGUUUUUGUGUGAAGUUCUCUCUAAUCAUAGCUUUACUUUUACAUCAAUUGGUGAGCAAUUGAGCAUUGAGGACCAAAAACCAUGAAUACUGCUAAAAAAUAAUCACUUUUCAGAAUUAGUAUUACAACUAAUGUAAGUCACUUUUCCUUGUUUUGGUUCCAACGACUGUAACUCUUUCCUAUGAGUUUCCAUUUUGGAUCUCACAUCCAGCCUCCUCCUAAAUGGGUUUUUUCCCCCUGCGUGUAAAUAUUUGUGCUAAAAAAUUUAACUCAUAUUGAAUCUGCACUCUUUAUGUACCUAAGUAUUUAUUUUUCAAUCUUUUCUACAUUUCUUAAUUUGUACCAUAAGCGCUGCUUUCAUCUUUAGUUUGUUACCAUUCUACCGUUUGUCCAAUGACUGAUGACAUUUGUACAAACUACUCAUAAUAUUUUUCUCAUUUUGUGAAGGAAGCAGAAUUCGGUAGGAAUUAUCUUGUGUUAUUUAUAUCUUUUCACUUAAUUUAUUCCUAAAUUUAUAGUAUCUAUCUUCUCACCUCAGUAUGUAACUUAAUAUUUUAUAGAAUUUUCACUUCAAAAUAAACAUUUUGUGUUCUUGAC
rnacentral:lncRNA from 1 species